AGAGUUUGAUCAUGGCUCAGAACGUACGCUGGCGGCACGCCUAACACAUGCAAGUCGAACGCAGUAGCAAUACUGAGUGGCAAACGGGUGAGUAUAAUGUGGGAAUCUGCCUUUUGGUUUGGAAUAACACGGGGAAACUUGUGCUAAUACCGAAUAAGCCCUCACGGGGAAAGUUUUAAUGCCGAAAGAUGAGCCCGCACUUGAUUAGCUAGUUGGUAAGGUAAAAGCUUACCAAGGCAACGAUCAAUAGCUGUUCUUAGAGGAAGACCAGCCACAUUGGGACUGAGACACGGCCCAGACUCCUACGGGAGGCAGCAGUGGGGAAUCUUGCACAAUGGGGGAAACCCUGAUGCAGCGAUGCCGCGUGAGUGAAGAAGGCCCUUGGGUUGUAAAACUCUUUCGUCGGGGAAGAAAAUGACUGUACCCGAAUAAGAAGGUCCGGCUAACUUCGUGCCAGCAGCCGCGGUAAUACGAAGGGACCUAGCGUAGUUCGGAAUUACUGGGCUUAAAGAGCUCGUAGGUGGUUAAAAAAGUUGAUGGUGAAAUCCCAAGGCUUAACCUUGGAACUGCCAUCAAAACUUUUUAGCUAGAGUGUGAUAGAGGUAAGUGGAAUUUCUAGUGUAGAGGUGAAAUUCGUAGAUAUUAGAAAGAACACCAAAUGCGAAGGCAACUUACUGGGUCACUACUGACACUGAGGAGCGAAAGCAUGGGUAGCGAAGAGGAUUAGAUACCCUCGUAGUCCAUGCCGUAAACGAUGUGUGCUAGACGUUGGAAAUAUAUUUUUCAGUGUCGCAGCGAAAGCAUUAAGCACACCGCCUGGGGAGUACGACCGCAAGGUUAAAACUCAAAUGAAUUGACGGGGACCCGCACAAGCAGUGGAGCAUGUGGUUUAAUUCGAAGAUACGCGCAGAACCUUACCAACGCUUGACAUGUUCGUCGCGAGACUAAGAGAUUAGUCUUUUCAGUUCGGCUGGACGAAACACAG
rnacentral:rRNA from 1 species